rnacentral:tRNA from 3 species
GGUCUUGUAUUCAAUAAUGAUGUUAGAUUGCAAGUUUAAAGGUGUGUAAUUCACUAAGGCCU